CUAUUGCCUGCGAAAGUUGAAGUUUAUAUGCAUAAAGUCAUAAAUUUUUUAUGCACUAUAUCAUGCAAAGUUGAUCUGGAUAUUUGUAAUUAACAGGCCACCAAGCAAAUCAAUUUGAGGACUACAAUGAAAAAAUUCAUGAAUUCAUUCAGUGUCAUCAGAGCUUCUGUUAGGGUGAUUGGUUUUACUUUUGGCAAGAUGCUACCUCUUGUCAUAAAUCUGUUAUGCCAUUCAGAAAUUAUCAGUCUUGAAAGUGGAUUUCAAUCAUGUGCAGUCACAGAAAAUUUCAAAUUUACACUGUAUCUAAAAUUUGAUAAACCACACUACAACUUGCACCAUUGCCUGUGGUGAAGCCAUUUUGAAGAGAGAUCUACAUCUGGCAUCAUCUAAUGUCCAUUUCAUUUUAAAAAAACUUUUGAUAUUUUCUUUAUUGAAUACAAAAAACUGUUAAGUGCAGGUCCUUCUUUGUUUCUUUUUAAUGAUUUUCUAAAAAUGUAAUGAGAUACUUUUCAG
rnacentral:lncRNA from 1 species